GAUGAACGCUGGCGGCGUGCUUAACACAUGCAAGUCGAACGAGAGGUGAAGACGGAAACCUUCGGGCGGAAGGCUUUAUUUCGAGUGGCGGACGGGUGAGUAACGCGUGGGUAACCUGCCUCAUACAGGGGGAUAACAGUUGGAAACGACUGUUAAUACCGCAUAAGACCACAGCACCGCAUGGUGCGGGGGUAAAAACUCCGGUGGUAUGAGAUGGACCCGCGUUCGAUUAGCCAGUUGGCGGGGUAACGGCCCACCAAAGCGACGAUCGAUAGCCGAUCUGAGAGGAUGACCGGCCACAUUGGGACUGAGACACGGCCCAAACUCCUACGGGAGGCAGCAGUGGGGAAUAUUGCACAAUGGGGGAAACCCUGAUGCAGCGACGCCGCGUGAGUGAAGAAGUAUUUCGGUAUGUAAAGCUCUAUCAGCAGGGAAGAAAAUGACGGUACCUGAGUAAGAAGCCCCGGCUAACUACGUG
rnacentral:rRNA from 1 species